UACGGAGGGUGCAAGCGUUAUCCGGAUUCACUGGGUUUAAAGGGUGCGUAGGUGGGCAGGUAAGUCAGUGGUGAAAUCUCCGGGCUUAACCCGGAAACUGCCGUUGAUACUAUUUGUCUUGAAUAUUGUGGAGGUAAGCGGAAUAUGUCAUGUAGCGGUGAAAUGCUUAGAUAUGACAUAGAACACCAAUUGCGAAGGCAGCUUGCUACACAAUGAUUGACACUGAGGCACGAAAGCGUGGGGAUCAAACAGG
rnacentral:rRNA from 1 species